CCUACGGGGGGCAGCAGUGAGGAAUAUUGGUCAAUGGACGAGAGUCUGAACCAGCCAAGUAGCGUGAAGGAUGACUGCCCUAUGGGUUGUAAACUUCUUUUAUAUGGGAAUAAAAUGUUCCACGUGUGGGAUUUUGUAUGUACCAUAUGAAUAAGGAUCGGCUAACUCCGUGCCAGCAGCCGCGGUAAUACGGAGGAUCCGAGCGUUAUCCGGAUUUAUUGGGUUUAGAGGGAGCGUAGGUGGAUUGUUAAGUCAGUUGUGAAAGUUUGCGGCUCAACCGUAAAAUUGCAGUUGAAACUGGCAGUCUUGAGUACAGGAGAGGUGGGCGGAAUGCGUGGUGUAGCGGUGAAAUGCUUAGAUAUCACGAAGAACUCCGAUUGCGAAGGCAGUUCACUGGACUGCAACUGACACUGAGGCUCGAAAGUGUGGGUAUCAAACAGGAUUAGAUACCCUUGUAGUC
rnacentral:rRNA from 1 species